GAUGAAGAACGCAGCGAAAUGCGAUGAGUAAUGUGAAUUGCAGAAUUCAGUGAAUCAUCGAAUCUUUGAACGCACAUUGCGCCCCCUGGUAUUCCGGGGGGCAUGCCUGUCCGAGCGUCAUUACAACCCUCAAGCUCAGCUUGGUGUUGGGCCCCGCCGCCCCGGCGGGCCCUAAAGUCAGUGGCGGUGCCGUCCGGCUCCGAGCGUAGUAAUUCUUCUCGCUCUGGAGGUCCGGUCGUGUGCUCGCCAGCAACCCCCAAUUUUUUUCAGGUUGACCUCGGAUCAGGUAGGGAUACCCGCUGAACUUAAGCAUAUCAAUAAGCGGAGGA
rnacentral:misc_RNA from 1 species